rnacentral:tRNA from 1 species
GCUGAUGUAGCUCAGCGGUAUAGUGCACUUAGCAUGCUUGAGGCCCUGGGUUCCAUCCCCAGCACCAAUA